rnacentral:rRNA from 1 species
GAUGAACGCUGGCGGCGUGCCUAAUACAUGCAAGUCGAGCGAAGCGGGGACGGGUGAGUAACACGUGGAUGACCCCCCAUAAGACCGGGUUAAAUUCGGGAAACCGGAGCUAAACCGGAUACUUAAACAUGGAUCGGCACGGUAUUAGCUAGUUGGUAAGGUAACGGCUGACCAAGGCAACGAUUCAUAGCCGACCUGAGAGGGUUGUCGGCCGCACUGGCACGGAGACCCGGUCCAGACUCCUACGGGAGGCAGCAGUAGGGAAUCUUCCGCAAUGGGCGAAAGCCUGACGCAGCAACGCCGCGUGCGUGAUGAAGGUCUUCGGGUCGUAAAACUCUGUUAUUAGGGAAGCGGUACCUAACGAGAAAGCCACGGCUAACUCCGUGCCAGCAGCCGCGGUAAUAC